CUAGUCCUUCUAUUUUUUUCAGGUCAACUUUAUUUAUAGUAUCAAAUCAUAACAAGAGUGAUGUCAAGACACUUGACAGAUAGAGCAGGACUAUACCACACUCUAUAAUUUAAAAAGACCCAACACUUCCUGUA